CCGCGCACAAUCCGCUCAUGAACGUAGAUUCAAAUUUGCCGUUAGUUUAGCUCUGCCCAAGACGGUUGGCUGAGUUGUUUCUGUAUUGGACAACAAGGAUGGAACAGCACGCGGGAAUGAUUUGAAUUUAUUUCAGGCCAUCCAUUCGGAAAUGUGUAAGAAAAUAACGCGCUCUUUCUUCUGUUUCACCAACUACAACAAAUUCGGACAAUACUACAGCAGACAUAAUGCCAACCACUGAGGAAUGAAACGCACGUCUUGAGGCUGAGUAAACUGUCAUUACAUAUGGGAUCGUUGAUUAUGAAAACUGCAUCCAUCCUGGACAGUUACACUGCUACUGUAGGUAGUAAUAUGAUGCAGCUAAGUCAAAGUCGUGUGGAAAGACUGGAGAUCUACAGCAGUUUCUGUGUGAUCUUGGACUCCAAAAGUGAUUUGCAAAAGACAUCUUGGAAUGCAUGGGGGUAGUAAAACAAGAUAAUUUUCAACUUUGGGUAGGGCUGGGUAUUGUUUUUUGAUACUUUUCAGGCACUCACCAAAUUGCCUCAAAACUAUUGAGUAUCAAAAAAUGUCUCAUUGUUUGAAGUAUUAAAACCAGAAUGCUUUAUGUGCCCAAAUCAAGUGCUGGUCACUGGCUGUGGCAAGGCAUCAAGGGCUUUAAAAUUCAGGAACCAGUAUUGAAAUCAAAGUAUCGUUAUUGAUAUUGAACAUUUUUGCACAUCAUGUUUACAUUAAUUUUUGGAUUAACUAGGACCAUUAAAACAUGUCAUUUGGGCCUAGAGUUUAAAAUAUUUGGGUCUGUCAUUCAGAAACAUGGCUUUUCAUGUUACUGCUAUUGUAGUGACACACAUCUCUCCCUUUCAUUCCAGCUGGAUUUUCUGACGGUUACUGCUCGCAACUCUGCCUCCUGAACAGAAAUGCCUUGCUGAAUGUUGAAUGACCAUCAACUCAACCUUGCCAAGACAGAACUGCUCAUGUUUUCAGCCAUCCCAACCUUGGUGUUACAGUGGACACAUAUGAACUUCAUUGACCACAUUUCAGUGGCCCGAUCCUGCAGAUUUGCCCUUAUGGGGCAUGCAACAGAACUCCUUGUCCAAGUUCUUAUUUUCUCUAGACUACUGUACUUCUCUCUUAGCAGACCUUCCAGCAUGUCCUACAAAGACUCUGCAACUAAUCCAGCAUAUGGCACUGAGUGCAGUCUUUAAUGAGUUGAAGAGAGUGAUGUCACAAAUCGUCACUUUGCAGUGGUUGCCAGUAGCCAUUCACAUCACAUCACAAAGAGGUACAUAUUCACUUUCACAGACCUUUACUUUGACUGUUUGUCGCUGUUGUAAUAAACUGCCUAACUCUGCCCAUUUUCAAAAAAUGGCUAAAAAAUUAUUUUUUUUGUUUUUCAUGAACGCUUGACCAAUUAAAGGGAUAGUUCACAUGGCAGUGAAUGUCUGCUAUGAGUUUGA